rnacentral:rRNA from 1 species
GAAACGACUGCUAAGACUGGAUAGGAGACAAGAAGGCAUCUUCUUGUUUUUAAAAGACCUAGCAAUAGGUAUGCUUAGGGAGGAGCUUGCGUCACAUUAGUUAGUUGGUGGGGUAAAGGCCUACCAAGACUAUGAUGUGUAGCCGGGCUGAGAGGUUGAACGGCCACAUUGGGACUGAGACACGGCCCAAACUCCUACGGGAGGCAGCAGUAGGGAAUUUUCGGCAAUGGAGGAAACUCUGACCGAGCAACGCCGCGUGAACGAUGAAGUAUUUCGGUACGUAAAGUUCUUUUAUUAGGGAAGAAUAAAUGAUGGAAAAAUCAUUCUGACGGUACCUAAUGAAUAAGCCCCGGCUAACUAUGUGCCAGCAGCCGCGGUAAUACAUAGGGGGCAAGCGUUAUCCGGAAUUAUUGGGCGUAAGGGUGCGUAGGCGGUUAAAUAAGUUUAUGGUCUAAGUGCAAUGCUCAACAUUGUGAUGCUAUAAAAACUGUUUAGCUAGAGUAAGAUAGAGGCAAGUGGAAUUCCAUGUGUAGUGGUAAAAUGCGUAAAUAUAUGGAGGAACACCAGUAGCGAAGGCGGCUUGCUGGGUCUUUACUGACGCUGAGGCACGAAAGCGUGGGGAGCAAACAGGAUUAGAUACCCUGGUAGUCCACGCCGUAAACGAUGAGUACUAAACGUUGGGUAAAACCAGUGUUGAAGUUAACACAUUAAGUACUCCGCCUGAGUAGUACGUACGCAAGUAUGAAACUUAAAGGAAUUGACGGGACUCCGCACAAGCGGUGGAUCAUGUUGUUUAAUUCGAAGGUACCCGAAAAACCUCACCAGGUCUUGACAUGCUUCUGCAAAGCUGUAGAAACACAGUGGAGGUUAUCAGUUGCACAGGUGGUGCAUGGUUGUCGUCAGCUCGUGUCGUGAGAUGUUGGGUUAAGUCCCGCAACGAGCGCAACCCUUAUUGUUAGUUGCCAGCACGUAAUGGUGGGGACUUUAGCAAGACUGCCAGUGAUAAAUUGGAGGAAGGUGGGGACGACGUCAAAUCACCAUGCCCCUUAUGACCUGGGCUACAAACGUGAUACAAUGGCUGUUACAAAGGGUAGCUGAAGCGCAAGUUUUUGGCGAAUCUCAAAAAAACAGUCUCAGUUCGGAUUGAAGUCUGCAACUCGACUUCAUGAAGUUGGAAUCGCUAGUAAUCGCGAAUCAGCAUGUCGCGGUGAAUACGUUCUCGGGGUUUGUACACACCGCCCGUCA